rnacentral:rRNA from 1 species
UACGAAGGGGGCUAGCGUUGUUCGGAAUUAUUGGGCGUAAAGAGCUCGUAGGCGGCUUGUCACGUCGGUUGUGAAAGCCCGGGGCUUAACCCCGGGUCUGCAGUCGAUACGGGCAGGCUAGAGUUCGGUAGGGGAGAUCGGAAUUCCUGGUGUAGCGGUGAAAUGCGCAGAUAUCAGGGGGAACACCGGUGGCGAAGGCGGAUCUCUGGGCAUUACCUGACGCUGAGGAGCGAAAGUGUGGGGAGCGAACAGG